GGAGGGAAACCGCGAGGGUUCGGCGGCUGCGGAGGCGCUGGCCAUUGGGCUGCACCGCCGCGCUCCUGGCCUGGCCCUGCGCCCGGGCCCGCCCGUCCCGCUUCCCCAGCCAGGUGAACAAGCCACCAGUCUGUGGUCAUCUGCGGUGGGAAGCUUUACUGGACAGGUCCUACAAGAAGCCAGGGACUCCUGGAUUGAUGUCUGGAGCUGUGCAGUGCCACUAUAGCAGAAGGGGACAUACCAGCCUGGAGCAGGUACUAAGGGACGCUGAGACCCGGGGUGGGGUGGGGUGUGAGGAUUUCCCUUGCUCUUGCCUGCUUAGGGGGAGCAGGAGCUGGGGCAGGGUGUUGGACUUCCUUUUUUCCCUCAUGCCUGGGAGCUUCCUCGUGGAGCCCAGCGUCCUCCCCCCAGAGACCUUGGACUCAGAUGUUAUCAGAUGUCCAGCCCCCAGAACUCCCUUCCUCCCGUCUCCAGGAACUGUCACUGGCCUACAGCCCAACCAAUGAGCUUAAAUCGAUCUCUGUGAUGAGCUCCAAUUACUGGUCUCAGGACCCUGCCUCAGCAUGGGUCUGGGGUUCCAGGAGAAAGAUAGGACAGUCAUACACCAGCCUUUUCCCUCAAGUGUCCUGGGGACUUUUUCCUACUUUCC
rnacentral:lncRNA from 1 species